GUGUUCGUAGAAAGGAGAGACGGUUGGCAUCUCCCCUGACAGGGACGGGGACAGCCUUCGGGCUUCCCUGUUAUAGACACACCCGGUUUCACCGGUCAAGUAAGAUAGGGUGGUUCGAUUAUUAU